rnacentral:rRNA from 1 species
AUUGAACGCUGGCGGCAUGCUUUACACAUGCGAGUCGAACGGUAACAGGCCGCAAGGUGCUGACGAGUGGCGAACGGGUGCGUAAUGCAUCGGAACGUGCCCAGUCGUGGGGGAUAACUACUCGAAAGAGUAGCUAAUACCGCAUACGAUCUAUGGAUGAAAGCGGGGGACCGUAAGGCCUCGCGCGAUUGGAGCGGCCGAUGUCAGAUUAGGUAGUUGGUGGGGUAAAGGCUCACCAAGCCAACGAUCUGUAGCUGGUCUGAGAGGACGACCAGCCACACUGGGACUGAGACACGGCCCAGACUCCUACGGGAGGCAGCAGUGGGGAAUUUUGGACAAUGGGCGCAAGCCUGAUCCAGCAAUGCCGCGUGCAGGAAGAAGGCCUUCGGGUUGUAAACUGCUUUUGUACGGAACGAAACGGCUCUGGUUAAUACCCGGGGCUAAUGACGGUACCGUAAGAAUAAGCACCGGCUAACUACGUG